rnacentral:rRNA from 1 species
UAUGUGAUCGUCUCUCGCAUAUCAAUAAGCGGAGGAAAAGAAACUAACAAGGAUUCCCCUAGUAACGGCGAGUGAAGCGGGAAGAGCUCAAAUUUGAAAUCUUAAAGGGUUUCCCUUUACGAAUUGUAGUUUAAAGAAGUGUUUUCUGUUGAGGUUUUGGUAAAAGUUCUUUGGAAUAGGACAUCAUAGAGGGUGAGAAUCCCGUAUUUGACCUUUAGCUUUCAACUUUGUGAUACACUUUCAAAGAGUCGGAUUGUUUGGGAAUGCAGUCCAAAAUGGGUGGUAAAUUUCAUCUAAAGCUAAAUAUUGGCGAGAGACCGAUAGCGAACAAGUACCGUGAGGGAAAGAUGAAAAGAACUUUGAAAAGAGAGUUAAACAGUACGUGAAAUUGUCAAAAGGGAAGCGUUAGACACCAGUGUUGUUUUUCUGAAAAUCAAUUAAAGAACUGUUUAUGCUAAGCUGUUUAGACUUUAUCAGCUAAUCUGUUUAGUUUUGAGCUUUUCUUUAAUGCACUUUUCAGUUAACAAGUCAACAUCAAUUUCUUUUGCUGUAAAAAAGCUUGAGGAAGGUGGCUUGAGAUUCGUCCUUAAGUGUUUAUAGCCUCUUGCCUAUGCAGUCGGAGAGAUUGAGGUCUGCAGCGUAGAUCCUUCGGGGCUAAAUGCAUUUGUGCUAAGUUAUAGCAUUUUAUAGACAACUUGUUGACUAUGAUUUGUCUUGUAGCUUACUCGCUUAUGUUAUUUUACCUACGCUUAGGAUGUUGAUCUACAGAGCGAGAGU